UACGAAGGGGGCUAGCGUUGUUCGGAUUUACUGGGCGUAAAGCGCACGUAGGCGGAUCGUUAAGUCGGGGGUGAAAUCCUGGAGCUCAACUCCAGAACUGCCUUCGAUACUGGCGAUCUUGAGUCCGGAAGAGGUGAGUGGAACUCCGAGUGUAGAGGUGAAAUUCGUAGAUAUUCGGAGGAACACCAGUGGCGAAGGCGGCUCACUGGUCCGGUACUGACGCUGAGGUGCGAAAGCGUGGGGAGCGAUCCGG
rnacentral:rRNA from 1 species